rnacentral:lncRNA from 1 species
UUAUUAUACCAAAACCAAGUCGUAUUCUUUUUCAGAAGACUCCUAAGCUAUGUGGUGGUUGUAGAGAAUGAUGAGAGUAAGAGAUGGAAGAAUAUUGUAUUGACUCUCAUAAGAAUAAUGGUUAAAGUUACAUAUAUAUUUACACUAGAGAUGUUUCCUAAGCUAGAUAGAUACAAAUAUAUAUGAGCUUGAAUGAUGAUAGGAAGCACUUUGGCUUGGUUUGGAAACA